GGUUGACCUCGGAUCAGGUAGGGAUACCCGCUGAACUUAAGCAUA
rnacentral:rRNA from 33 species